UACGGGGGGAGCAAGCGUUUGUUCGGAUUUACUGGGCGUAAAGGGCGCGUAGGCGGCGCAACAAGUCACUUGUGAAAUCUCCGGGCUUAACCCGGAGCGGUCAAGUGAUACUGUCGUGCUAGAGUGCGGAAGGGGCUACUGGAAUUCUCGGUGUAGCGGUGAAAUGCGUAGAUAUCGAGAGGAACACCUGCGGCGAAGGCGGGUAGCUGGGCCGACACUGACGCUGGAGGUGCGAAAGCGUGGGGAGCAAACAGG
rnacentral:rRNA from 1 species